rfam:Neocallimastix californiae strain G1 LY90scaffold_97, whole genome shotgun sequence.
UAAACGGUUUUUUUUAAAAACCAUCAUUAGAAAAGAAAAAGCUUUA